ACCGGGAGAAACCCCACCGUGUUCCUCGCGCGCACUCUUGGCUGUAUUUUGUUUUUGUUUUUUUUUGCUAUUUUUGGCUGAUGAUGAGACCUAAACCCGUUCACUCCGUCCAAACUGAGUCUGCAGGCUCAGGUGUGCGUCAGGUACUAAUCACCUGUGCGUCUAAGAUCUGGAGGACCCUCGUUACCCUCUUCAGCUGCACCACUGGAGGCUGUGUUGGACUCUCAGUGGAGGAGACCGAGCCAGCAGAGCCCCAAAGCUCAGUGCAGCCCUUCAUCUGUUCAUACAGCAGAUAAAGCAGGCACUCCAAGACUGCAACUGUGUAAAAAUGUG